rnacentral:rRNA from 1 species
UACGGAGGGGGGUAGCGUUGUUCGGAAUUACUGGGCGUAAAGCGCACGUAGGCGGGCUGUUAAGUCGGGGGUGAAAUCCCGGGGCUCAACCCCGGAACUGCCUUCGAUACUGGCAGCCUUGAGUUCGAGAGAGGUGAGUGGAAUUCCGAGUGUAGAGGUGAAAUUCGUAGAUAUUCGGAGGAACACCAGUGGCGAAGGCGACUCACUGGCUCGAUACUGACGCUGAGGUGCGAAAGUGUGGGGAGCAAACAGG